GACGAACGCUGGCGGCGUGCCUAAUACAUGCAAGUCGAGCGGAGUUAGAACUUCGGUUUUAAUUUAGCGGCGGACGGGUGAGUAACACGUAGGUAACCUGCCUAACAGACUGGGAUAACUACCGGAAACGGUAGCUAAGACCGGAUACGACCAUUUGGGGGCAUCCUUGAAUGGUGAAAAGCGGAGCAAUCUGCUACUGAAUGAUGGACCUGCGGCGCAUUGGCUAGUUGGUGAGGAGUGGCUCACCAAGGCGACGAUGCGUAGCCGACCUGAGAGGGUGAACGGCCACACUGGGACUGAGACACGGCCCAGACUCCUACGGGAGGCAGCAGUAGGGAAUCCUCGGCAAUGGACGAAAGUCUGACCGAGCAACGCCGCGUGAGUGAUGAAGGUUUUCGGAUCGUAAAACUCUGUUGCCAGGGAAGAAUGGCUAGGCGAGUAACUGCGCUUAGUAUAACGGUACCUGAGAAGAAAGUCCGGCUAACUACGUGCCAGCAGCCGCA
rnacentral:rRNA from 1 species